AAUACAAACGUUAUAGACAAGUAGCCCAAUACUUCGCAGUAUGUUAAUUGCUUUUUCGGGCCCUACGUGCUGGGAGGAAUACAUUAAUUUAAAGUGGUGCACAAUUGCCAUAAUCAUUCUGGAACGCACGUGUAAGUAUUAUAACAGGCGAUCGACAAAAUCAUUCUGACCGUGAAAUAACUCCGUUUCAAAAUUAAUCGGCAUCAACCGAUCAUGGUUAGUUGGCGAGAAGUGCUUCUAUCUGAAGCGUUUCAGCGCACGCAUUAUUACCUGGUAUUCUGCUUCUCCAUACUGAACAUCACACUAGGGCCAUUAUCGUCCACUGCCUACAUAUCUGGCUUCUGAUCAAUCAACCCCCGAAGCAGCCACUGCGAAAACUGCGUAUUGAUCUCGCCACGGUAACGGCCGAAGUCAGGCUUUUCCACGGAUACCGGUUUUGUAUGGUCAUAAGCACCGGCUUGGUACUGGGUGCCGUUAUCAUGGGAAGCCUCACAGGGAUCAUGAUACUGGUUUAUGCCGGCAGUAGUGUUCUGGGUCUACAUAUUUUCACUUUGGUUAUGGUGUAUAUUGCGUAGAUCCAUGGAUCGAUGCCAACGUGGAUGACCUACUGUCUCAGUUGUCGACGACGUAAUUCAUGCCUUAUUCCGACUGUUCCCGUUGUUGGCCAAACGCGGAGAGAUAUGGCAGCUUCCGAUGUACUAGUCAGCGUACCAACUGGGUAUGGUGUGAUACAGGACAUUGACUCGUUUCCAGAGCAUCACGUCGAACAGCUAGCUCACGCCUUACGAGCUUAAGCAACAAAAAUUUUGGUAUGGUGUCAAGCAAAACCAGUUCAACGAAAAAGAAAAAUCUUCAGUGAAUAAUAUUCUGCUUUCUUUACAUUGCAUACAUUACGGCGCCCUUUUCUGCGCUGCAAGCAGAUUAAAAAAGCAACCAAAUUUAAUUCUUAUGCCAUCGUAUUUUUAUACUCCUGUGUUACCAUAUUUUUAUUUUUGCCACUUGUAAGAUAUGCAUUACCUGUCUGAAUAAAAAUCGCGUGCUAGAGAAAAGUUGCCGAGUAAGUUCGUCAGUUAAGUUAGUGACCGUUGCUGAAGAGAAAAAGAGAAUUCCGUGAAAAAAAAAUCCAUUUUUUCCUGCUUUCCUUUGUAUCCAUUCCAUUUCAAGCUAAGCAAAUGGCUGCUCAGUGCAGCGACGAUAUCAUUCUCUGCGAUGAUGAUUUUUUAAUUUUAUUUACCAAGGUCGAAGCAGAUAACGGUAUUUGUAUUACUUUCACAGCUCAGGGUUCACGCUAAACGCAGUUGUGCGAUAAUAAUACCAUUCUAUCGCAACGAUCGUCAGGGAUCUGCAUUACGGAAAUUUUCUAGCAGUACCACAUUUUUAACGGGUAUAAUUUCUCAAAGCGCUUGCAGUCACUCAAUCAUGGUCAGCUGGCGGAAAGUUAACCUCUCCGAAGAGUUCCGGGACACCUAUUAUUAUCUGGCAUUCUUCCUCUCCAUAAUGAUUCGGACCAUCAGCGUCCGUUGCCAGUUAUUUUUUGUUUCGCUAAACAAACCUUCAGUAACGUCACAAUGCAGCCGGUGGACACAGCACGCAGGUGCAAAAGAGGCCGGCAAGAUGGCGGCUACCAACAGCAUUAUCAUUACUAACAUCAUGAUGUAUAACAGCAGCAUCAUCGUCACAAACAAUUACGGACUAAUUGAGAGUUACGAUAUGCUGAAGAGCUGAAGCGCACUCUGCACGAUUGUCGCGCCGUUCUUUGCACGAUAACGGCCGAAGUGAGGUUCCUCUUGAGAUACCGGUUUCUUACGGUCUUACGGUAAUCAGCAUCGGCCUUGUCCUGGGUGCAGUUAUCACGAGA